AUUAUUUUGGCAGAUUAUGCAAUAAAAUUAGAAUUUAUAAAAGUAAUAUUUAAUUACAAAUAAUA